ACGCAACAAAAACAUUGAGAGCUUGUUGAAAGUGAGAGAAAAUAUAGUAAGAUUUCUCCUAGUGUUCAGACUGAGAGAAAACAUAGAGAGGAAAUAUAUGUUGUCUAUUUUGUGCACAAAUAAAUAUAGAGAGCAAAAUGGGUUAAACUCCAAAAAAAAAAACACCUAGAAGCCUCUAGGGAAAGAAAUACAAGAACUACCGGUCAUCAAAGCUAAAGAAAUAAAACUAGAGCAAUAUUAAAUAUAAGGAUUGUUCAGAAUUCAAGCUUCCCAAUCUUGCAAAAGCGGAUUUGGAACCCGCGGAAAAACGGUAUCUCGAACGUUGAUUGGGCAUUACAUCUCAAGAAAGACGCAUCUUGGGGAAACAACAAACAUGAACCAAUCUUUGAUUCAAUUUUCACCAUUUAGGAACAAUUCGUAUCUUCCAAGCUCCAAUGAUUUUGUUUCAGAUGAAGAAAAUACCAUAAACAAUGGUUGUAUGCUCCUUUCUUCCAUCUAAAUGUUGUUGUUUUUCAUAUUACUUAGUUUUUAUUGAUUGUAUGCUCAUAUGCAGUUCACGUACAAAUUGAUUUCACUUUUAGAUGUUGGUUUUUGAUAAUUUCAUUUUAUAUUUGUUGUUUGAUCUGUUUACGUUGGCUAAGUUUCUGGUGUUUGAUUUUUGUUAAUGGAUUAUGAACCAUAAAGUAAUUUAGUCUGUUGUCUUCUGUGUGUGCACCUUUCAAUAUGGUUAGGAAGAAGAGAACUGACCGAUUUGAUGAUGCCAAAAGAUCUGAUGAUCAACAGAACAGUCCACCACCUCAACAGCAAACUAUAGAGGUGUUGGACAUCAAGAAGGGGAAAACGAUGGUUAUGGUGGUUGGGACGAUGAAUUUGCCUUAGAUCCUACUCAAAUUCAGACACUUCUGGUGGGUAGAUGAACUUGUCUCGGAAUGGGGAGCAGGUAGAGGAGACACAAAAACUGGUUAGGGUGCAGAUGGAAUUUUGGUUGCUUGAUGCAGCUCAGGUGGUGGUUACCUUGGUGGGCCGCCAUAUGAAGGAACUACGCCUUGGCCACCUCCAGCACUAAUAUGGUGCAGGUGCUGGCUGUGUCCAUGUUGUAGUUUCUUCAUAUGGCGGCAGACUGAUGUAACCAGCACCGAGCUGCAUCAAGCAACCUAAGUUCCAUCUACAGCCUAUCAAGUUUUCGUGUCUCCUCCACCUCUCCCCAAUCUGAGGCAAGUUCAUUUUACCAGCCACCAGAGGUGACUGAAGUUGAAUAGAAUCUAGGACAAAUGACAUUUCAUUCUUAAGAGACGCAUGCCUCUUCUCCACAACGUAAAUCUUUACCGAGGUUUCCCCUUCUUCUUGGAAAGGGCAGCUAUGGCAAGAAGUGUGUUGUUAUGGAAAACCGUUUUUCUUCUUCUGAGUUACCUUUAAAAAACCCUUCAUCGGUAUGAUGUAACAAUUACUCCAUAAGCGACUUCUAGAGGUGUGAAUUGUGUCGUUAUGGAGCAGCUUAUGAGACUGUAUUCAUACUUGGGAAAGAGACUUCCCGAUUAUGAUGGCCAUAAGUGUCUGUAUACUACAAACCUGCCCCCUCCAAAUUGAUGGGACAUAUCACUAAAGCUUCUAAAGCUAACAAUUUUAAAAUAAUUGUAAAACAAAUUUUCCCCAAAUUUAGAGAAUUUAUAUUGAUUUAAAUCACACAAAUUAAGGGAAGGAAUUGGGCUUUAGGACCAUUUUUUCUUGUUGGUAUUUUGUGAGCUUGUGCAUCUCUAUGUAUCAGUGUAACACAUAUUUAUUUUACUGCAUUGCUCUUUUAUUUUAUGAGCUGCUUUGUAUGCCAUGUAUAAUGGAGUUCUUGUCGUAGAAAUAACUUCCUUAUGAUGAUCCAUUUUGAACGUAA